ACUCUUUCGCAGGGGCGAUUUCAUAGUCUGUGAAGUUCUGCUGAGACGUGAUUAUUGCUAGUUGAAAACUUAACCCAAUACCCC
rnacentral:snRNA from 1 species